AAAAAAUAAAAUAAAAUAUAUACUAUCUUGCUCCUCAGAACCAGUGGGGAAGAAGAGGGAAGGCAAAGAAAGAAACUGAGCAUAGUAAACACAGCAUUUUUUUGUAGGCUCUUAUUUAAAAUGUGUGUGUGUGUGUGUAUGUGUGUGUUUCUGAGUAAGUAUUGACUGGGAAAAAGAGAGAAGUCAAUCAAAAGUAUACUGUGCAAUUGAGAGAGGCUGGCCCAAGAUUUAAAACUUCCUGUGGGUAAUCUAACUGUGAGUAGAUAGGAAUCGGCCAUAUGACGAAAUGAGAUCAAUAGGAAAUGUGCUUUUUGAGGAAAUUUUAUUUUAGUACCAAAUGUUGCCAGUGACAAUCUUCAGUUAAGAAGUAAGUUAUUCUGACCUAAAAUUCUUAUCUCUGCCACUUUGGUUUAAAAACAAAAACCCUUAUAUACAUGGAAUAGUUAUAUUUUAAUUAAGCAUUUAUUUUAGUUGUUUUCAUCCAUUCAAGCAAAAUGAAUAAGCAGCAUUUUUCAUUGCACUUAAAAAUGUAAAAUACCUGCAUGCCACUAAUCUGUAACAUUUUACCAGUUCAGAUGCCUGUAAUGUGUGACUUUAUGUGUGUCUGUGUUGUUUUGAAGAGAAUAAAGGAAAUAAUACUUUGCAAACU
rnacentral:lncRNA from 10 species